GUAGGGAAUAUUGCACAAUGGAGGAAACUCUGAUGCAGCGACGCCGCGUGAGUGAUGAAGGCCUUCGGGUCGUAAAGCUCUGUCGUAUGGGACUAACACAAUGAAGGUACCAUGCAAGAAAGGAUCGGCUAACUUCGUGCCAGCAGCCGCGGUAAGACGAGGGAUCCUAGCGUUGUUCGGAAUUAUUGGGCGUAAAGCGGGUGUAGGCGGAUUUAUAAGUCAGGUGUGAAAUCCCAGGGCUCAACCCUGGAAGUGCACUUGAUACUGUAAGUCUUGAGUGUGGUAGAGGCUAUUAGAAUUCUUGGUGUAGUGGUGAAAUACGUAGAUAUCAAGAGGAAUACCGGAGGCGAAGGCGGAUAGCUGGGCCAACACUGACGCUGAGACCCGAAAGCGUGGGGAUCAAACAGGAUUAGAAACCCGUGUAGUCC
rnacentral:rRNA from 1 species